CUUUCGUUCGUGCUCUCGGCGUCUCACCCUUCUCUCCGGCGCCUCCCACUUCGGCAGACUCUCCGGUGACUCCCCACUCCGGCGACUCUCCGGCGCCGAAAAAUGGUGCUCCUUCACUAGCUGAAGAUUCCGAAUCCAGGUAAGAGCCACCUGCUGCUGCUCCUCCAUCUCCGUUCGAAGAGGGCUUCGGCGAGAGCCACUUUCGCUGACAGCCGGGACGGUCGCUACAGCGACAGCUCGCUCCAGCCUCAAGCGAGCGUUGCUCGCCUAGAUCUGCGGCAGAUCUGGGCGACGGCCGCUCGCUGGAGGUGCUCUGCCGAGCUGGAGCUGCUGUGGUCGCUCGACAGAGCAGUUUGGGUCGCUCGAGCGGCAGAGCAGCCUCUCUACCAGCUCAAGCGACUGACGCCGAGCCCCAAGCGAGCCGUCGCCCAGAUCUGCCAGAUCUGGGCGACAGCUGCUCGGUGGAGCUGCUUUGCUCGCUCGGCAGAGCAGCACAGCGACGCGCUGCCAGCUCGCUCGAGCGUGGCUGCUCUGCCGAGCGAGCAGAGCAGCGCAGCUCGGUCGAGCAAGCUGCUCUGCAGCAGCUCGCUCAACCGUGGCUCGCUCGGAGUAGCUCGCUCGAUCGUCGCUCACUCGGAGCAGCUCGCUCGAGCGUGGCUGCUCUGCCGAGCGAGCAUAGCAGUGGAGCAGUGCUCGCUCGAGCGAGACUAAAUGAUUUAGGCAUUUUUCCCUUCCAUCUCUCCUUCUGCUCGCCAACUGUGCCCUCACACAUUCUCUCUCUCUCUCUCUUCCUCAGCUUCGAUUUUUCGAGCGAUUCCGUCGGAUUUGCCCGAGAAAAUUUGUCCAAUCAGGUAACACUUUCGUCUCCCCCUCAACUGUUUCCGCUUCCCCUCAUCUCUCUUUUCUCUAUUUCUUUUCGUCUCCUUUGACCCGCGAAAAUGCAGGCUGCAGGAAGAGCUCUCGCGUCGGGCCCCGUUCGAUUCAUCUCCGGCUCGUUCUCGAGGGAGUCCGUGGAGGGCUAAGUGAAAGCGCGCUCCUUCCCGUGGUACAUUCGAUCUCGAGGUGGUAGUAAUCCGAAUCUCAGAGUCUGCAGCGCGCCGCGUCAGCUUCAAUAGGACCCUGGACUUUGCACUUGUUCCGCGGCGAGC
rnacentral:lncRNA from 1 species